GCCAUUUUGAGGUUUGAAUAUUAAGUGAGACUCAUGAAGAUGCAGUGGAAAGUCUUAAUUGGUUAAUUGGAAGAACAAAACCAUCGAAAGUGUGAUCAAGUAGUAAUAAGCAUGUACAAACAGAUAUCAACUGUCUGAUUAAAAGCAAAUGAUAAUAAAAUUGCUAAUCAAAUGGUGGAAAUAUUCUAUGCGUGUGGUGAGAAUACCGAAACAGAUCCAUGUCUGUGGGCGUUGGAGCAAGUCAAAUGUUACAAAAAUAGGAUCAACCAGUUAGGUUUGACUCCGACGUUCUAAUAUUGAUAAAUACGUAAUAAAUAAUGUUUUAUGGA